UACGAAGGGUGCAAGCGUUACUCGGAAUUACUGGGCGUAAAGCGUGCGUAGGCGGUUCGUUAAGUCCGUUGUGAAAGCCCUGGGCUCAACCUGGGAAUGGCAGUGGAUACUGGCGAGCUAGAGUGUGAUAGAGGAUGGUGGAAUUCCCGGUGUAGCGGUGAAAUGCGUAGAGAUCGGGAGGAACACCAGUGGCGAAGGCGGGUCUCUGGACAGUUCCUGACACUGAGACACGAAGGCCAGGGGAGCAAACGGG
rnacentral:rRNA from 1 species